CGUUGCGCCAGGGUCAGGUCUUCCCGGAGUCGGGUUGUUUGGGAAUGCAGCCCAAAGCAUUUGGUAAACUCCAUCUAAGGCUAAAUACCGGCACGAGACCAAUAGUCGACAAGUACCUUAAGGGAAAGUUGAAAAGAACUUUCAAGAGAGAGUUCAAGAGGGCGUGAAACUGUUGAGAGGGAAAGAGGGUAGUUCUCAGUGGUCG